UUUUUUUUUUUUUGUACCAAGGAUCGAACUCACAACCUUGCGCUUGUCAGGCAGGCUGUUAUGCCGCUGAACUAAAUCCCUGACCCCAUGUGAAUUAUUUUUAUAAAAUAGAUUUCUUUUCAGAUUUUUCUUUAAAUUUUGAAAUAAUAAUGUUUUAGAAUACAAAAAUAUUAGAUUUUCAAAGUCUGACAAAUCUCCGUCUUGGAAGCUGAUUCAAAGUAGUGUCAAACCUUUUGUUGAUAGCCUGAUGUCUAAGGUGUAGAUUUCUAUAUCCCGUCACAUGUGUUUAGUCACCUCUAAUCCCAGUGUUGCCAAGCACUAAGCAACUCAAAUAGCACUAUUUUGGGUUUUUUCUUUUUUGUCUAGUCCCCAUGCUUCAAUAUACCUCCUGUUUUUCAUCUCUUAAAUAAAUUACCUAUAGUAAUUUAUUUAAUUUAUUUAUUAAUCCAGUUUCUUAAUUUUAGGACAACUGAAACUAAUUUUAAAUUAUUUGAAAACAUUCAUUACUACAUUUUCAUCUUUUUCAUAUACAGUUCACUUAUUAAAACCCAGCAAUAACAAGUGGAUCAUAUUUCUUUGAUGGUUUGUUUUGCAGGAUAUUCUUUUUUUCUUUCAGGAAUUCUGUUUCACAGGGUUUAGGGGCUACUUUAGAGCUAUAUCAAGAAACUGUUGAUCUGACACUUGUCAUUAUAAGUUUCAUUUACUGGAAAAAUUUUCUUUAUCUUCAAGGUGAAAAAUAGGGCAUUGAGGAAAAUCUCCCUAAGGUUACCAGUGGACUAGCAGCAUCACAGCCCUCUUUUUCUCAUUCAGUGAAGAAAGUAUAUUAGAUAUAUCUUCUCAAACCUUUUCUCUUCUCCAUUGCGCUGAUUUAUUUGCUAUUAUGUGAGGAAGAAAACUACUUAUAAAAUGCAGAAAAAAGAACUAAUAAAUUUAUUUUUCUUUAUGGUUCACAAAUCCUAAGUCUGAAUAUCUGGUAUCAAAUGAGUUUUAUCGAUUAAAAUUGACUGACUGACGAUAGGCAUGUGUUUGGAAAUUCAUAAACAUUAAGUUUGUAGAGAUAAAAAGUGAAACUUGUGGCUUUGAAUUAUCACUGAAAUGUAUUCUACAGUUUUAUGCAAAUAACUGUACCUCCUUUCUAUGGUCAAGCUCUAAGAUGCCUAUGUGUGUGUAUGCUGGGAAAGAUAUCUGCUUCCUAAAGUGCUUUGUUAACACCAUAAUUUUAAAUUAAGUUUUCCAGAAAGCUGAUCCUGCUGUACAUUUUGGCAUCUAAGAUUAGGUCAUGGCCAUAAAUCUUGUUUACGUACUUAAUGCAAAGGAGAUACUGCUGUCUUGGGAAUCAUGUGAGCCAGAUUCUUUAUUUUGCUCCUCUUACAAGAUAUUGACAUAUAAAACAAAAUGCUCCCAUUUUGUUUUGCAUCUUUCUUCAUUUAAAACUUUAAAUAAAGAAUGUUUAUGCAUGGUUCUUUUUCAUUCAUAAAAGUGGAAAUCACUCUUAGUGUCUGCAUGAGUAGGCUUGUAUUCUUGUUCACGAAUUUGUAUGAUAGAUUGGCCCAUAAAAUCUUUAUGUUUGGCUUGUGCAGCUGAGUUCAUGUCUGAAUAGGGAAUGACAAAGAAGCUUUAGCAUUUUGUAGAAAUCAAAAAAACCAUGCCUUCUAGAUGGCCCUUAAGCUAGCUUUUAACUUCCUAGAAAUCAGCCAGAAAUGUAUAAUCAAAUUUACCAUUAAUGGCACAGCAUAGCAUAAAUCUUUGGGAUAUAAUCUAUAAGUUAAUGCAAAUGUAUUCUUCAAUAUGUAUUUGAUUUUCAUUAUAUUUGCAUGGAAGCCUGCCAGUUCAGACAGACAUAUUUUUACCUUUCAAUCUAUCAGAAGUUAAAAGAAAAAUGAUGGAUUGUGUCACUGACCAGUCCAACAGCCUAUUUCUUCAACGUAUCACUCUGUAUUUACUAUUUUCACUAUAUUGUUUUCAAUUUCUGGCAAAAUAGUCAGUUUUUGAUCCUGGGUAGAAAAUGUCAGUGCUCAUAUUUUAUGGGGUUUUGGUCUUUUUGUGAAAUGUAGGAGAGCAUUCAAUGAAUUAUGAUAUUGUCACCUGAAGUGUGUUUCUUUGCCAAAUUUUAGCAAGAAUAGAACUGAUCAUUUGCAUGUACAAGUCUUUUCUUGAACCCUAACAGCAGUUCCCUCAGCCUUCUGCCAGUUCUCUCUCAUGCUGUGAGACUGUAGUACAAACAAAUCUUUUUAACCUUCCCUUUUCAAGGUUAAUAGAGUUAAUAACCCCAAGGAAUAUACAUUUUUCCAGAGGAAUUUAGAAGCCUAAAUUUAGAAACUUAGGAGUUUAGAAUUUCAUCACUGAAAUUCUAAAUAAUCUUAAAAUAAAUUGUUUCUUAUUGCAAAUAUUUUAAGAAGAAUGCGUAUCUUGUACUACUACUUCAUGAAAAUGAACACUGCUCAUCUUCAAUAUUUUCCUUACAUUCUAUACAAAAAUAAGUAUUUAUAGGUAACAUUUGUGUAUUGUAACCUUAUAAAUCAGUAUGUCUUCAAGUUGUAAUUACUAAUGUAUUUUAUGGUCAUCUGAUACUACGCCAUGUUUCAGUAUUCCUCAAUAAUCAUGAGUUUAUAUUUUCAAUGUUUUUUGACAACCUAUAUGGACAAGUUAUAAGAAGCAAAUCUUAACAUUAAAGAUUGUGAUUUAAUAAGGAUUCUUCAGCUUAAGUUUUUAGUAAUCCUUUUGCAAUACUAGUUUCAAAUGACUUUUUAAAAAUUUUUUCAUGGUAUAAUAUUGUCUGUUUAGUUACAUGCUUCUCUUACAACUUUUUUUGACCAGCUGUGUCUUAGAUGUCUUCUUUCUAUAACAUUUAUUUAGUAAUACAUUUUUAGUGCCUACUCUAUAUCAAAUACAGUCCUACACGCUAGCUUUCCUACAGAGAAUAAAAUGUACUUACUUCCUGCAAUUAACAACUUUAGGUACUUAUGAGAAAAAUGCAUAUGUGUAUAUAUUGAUAUGUAUUAUAAAAUGCAUGUAUAUUAACAUAUAUUAGAGAAGUGCAUGUAUAUAUUAGGUAGAGGGAAAGAGACAAAGAGGCAAACAGAUAGGGAUGCAUCCAAUUUUGGAUUUCUGGAUUGCAAGUGUCUAGGUAAUUACCAAGUAAAGACAGAAGAAAGGAGGAGAAAAAUGACAGUAAUUGUCAUGGACAGUAAAUGGCAUUUUAAGGCCUAGAAGCAAGAGUAUAAUCAUACAAAGAACCAGAAAAUAGUUGCAGAAAGGUGCGAGAGAACAUUAUUAUAUAAGUCCACCCUUCAAGUCAUACAGUGUGUCUGAAUUUUAUGUGUUGUAUGUUGUGCCUAUUUGAAAUAAAGAACUAAGAAAUAGGCCCUGCUUUCAGAGUUUGACAGCUACUGUAAAUAGUGUAUCUCCCCCUGCCUUUGGUACUAGAAAUGAACCCAGGAACUUUCCACUGGUCCACAUCCAUAGCCAUAUUUUACUUUGUUUUGGAAUUGGGUCUUGCAAGAUUGUAUUUGAUUUGGGAGAGUUAAUUUUAGGAAGCUUUUAUCACCUAUACUGCAGACCUAUGCUGCAGACUUGUGACCCUCCUGCAUUUGCCUCACAGAAAGCUGAGAUUACAGGCAUUCACUCUCCAGCUAUGUAAUUUAUAGUUAAGGAUUAAGGUGGAGAUUUUUUUAGGAAAAAUUGAGUUUUAUGGACCAAGUAAUUGUACUUUUAAUCCAGAACUCUCCCAUUCAUCUUACCUGCCUUAGCUACAUUAAAGCAGGUGCUCACAAACUGUUAUAGGUAUGUUUCUCCCCAGAUGCAAUAACCACUACCUUUUCACAAAGAGGUAAUUUAGAGAUAAUUUUCCUUUUUCACAUAUAUUUGACUUAGUUCAUCCAAGUGUGUGGUGGUUGUGGUAGUUCAUGUGACAAUGAGACCUGAUUAGUCUCCUAAGUCAUAAGGAAGUUUAAAUGAACAUGUAGUCAUUGUACCAUGCUGCCAUACAGCUGAGAAGGUCCUCAAAGGCCUUUGGGCAGGAAUUGAGCAGUUAAAGCAUGAAAUGGCCUAGGUAUAAGAAGCUAAAUUAUGAUGUGGCAAAGUAGAGAGAUAAAUGAAAGAGAGCAUACUGAAUUGGAAGUCAUUCAAAGUACUAGACUGUAUUCAUCUAAUUAAGCACAAGUUUAAGAUUCCUGGAUCCAUUUGCCUGUCUUACUUCCUUGAUAAAGAAACUAUGGGCUAAAAAGUUGCCCAGCAAGUGGACAGAAAAGAAGGGACCACAAGUUAUGACUUUACAUGAAUAACCAUUUAAAAGGCUACCUGGAGAUUUCCGUUAGUAUUUUUGGAAAGUAAUAUUAUAUUUGAUUUUGGAGAAUUAAUUUUAGGAAGCUUUUAUCACCUAUACUAUACUUGCUAAGCAACAACUAAAAUUUGUAAUGCUGCCAAAAUUGCAAUGUCUUGAUUAGCAAUACAAAGAAAAUGUACACUUCGUAUAGGUUCCAGAACAUGAGAUUGGUGAGGGGGUAGGGUUAGGGAUUGAACCCAGGGCCUCAGGCGUGCAAGGCAAGCACACUAUCACCCAGUCAGAAUACAGUAUGUGAGUGAUUAAAACAAGUGAUUAAUCUUCCUUAUAUGGAAGUCUUAGAUAUUCUUUAUGGCCUUUGCACUUUCAGUUUAGUCUCCUGGGAUUAUGCUUCUCUGAGACACAUUUUUAGUUCACUGUUUCAUUCUCCUAAGCGAAGUGUUAACUUCUCAGUGAGUUCUUCCCUGGCUACUCUGUCCGCGUUUACUUCCUUUUAUUUCUUAUACUUCCUAUACUGAAGCAGUUUCUUUUUCUAAAAUGUCUCUUUAAUAUGUAUCUAUAUCUAGGAUGGAAUAUAUUUUAAGUAAAUUUUGCUUAUUCUCUGUGAUCCUAAGCUAGAAGAUUGAUCCUUAGAGGGAUGGAAGGGAAGCAGAGAAAAUUCUGAGAUGCUGAAAGUGUUCAAUAAAUAUCUAUUGAAUAUUACAUAAAAUAUUUUGCCACAAGAUUAGUUUCAAAAUAAAUUUUAAAAUGAUUGAUAACUUAUGUAUAAUAUUUCCAUUUAUAUAAUUUUCAAAGACCAUUUAAUUAUAAUACAUGGUUGAUGUAUAUUUGAUAAAGCAGGAUCAAUUUUAUUUGAUUAUUUUCUUUUUUAUUUUUAGAGAAGAAACAAAAACAAUAUCACAAGAUCUCAAAACAAAUAGUACAAGAGUAACAAGGAAUAGUAUAUUGCGUAUUGUUGUCCUUAAAUUAGGUACAGAGAUUACACAAAAUAAGCAUGAAAGUUGUUCAAACAAUGUAAGCACAAACCUUUCUUUGCAAUGAACUAAUAAAAAUUAGUAGUAAAAGUAUCUUAACUAUCAUAUAUUAGUAUAUAAUUAUAUAUGGUAUAACUCAUAUAUUUAUAUGUGAUAUAACUAUUAUAUUUAUAGAUGAUAGUUAUGAAAUGAUAUAUUAAUAUAUUUAUAUUUCUUUUUUCAUUUCUACCAUUACAGUUUCUCUUUCCUUUUGAAUCGUUUCUUCCCAUUUCAGAGUAUCCAUUGUGCAUUUUGGAUCUUAAUUGCUCUAUCAGCUUCUUAUACUAGGAAGACAGUACAGGGUUUAGGCAUGCAAAUCUAAUUUAUUUCACUUGUGAGUAUGGUCUCAAAUUGCAUCCAUUUAUUUAUAAAAGUCUCAAAUUUAUCCUGCUUUAUAGCUGACUAGUACUCCAUUGUAUAAAAAUACCAUACCUUAGUCUGGGAACCAGUGCCAUGCACAGGCCAUCACUGGAUCAGCAACAGCCAGACCUAAACCUCUCCCUGUGAGUCAGCACCAUUUGCAGACUGAGAGGAGAAAGGACAAGGCCACACCAGCAAACAAACUCAGUCCAGAAACCAGAAUCAUGUAUGAGCCACCACUGGAAAAGCCAGAACCCAGUCCCCUCUGGCACAUGGGCUGGGAAAAAAGGACUACCAAUCAUCCCUUCCCCACUCAGCAUAAGUAACUGGCUUAUCCAGAGAAACACAGGUUGUGAUGAUAGCUAUGGAGAUGAAAUGCAAUUGGAUGCCUCUGGUGCUUUGGUGUUACACUAACAUUGCAGGUCUAGGGCCAGUGGUCUGAGCAUAGGUUCAGAGAAUAGCAGUACACGGUGUGACAUCUAAGGGAGAUCUCCUAAAGAUUGCAGCCUUUGUUGCUUCCCUAUAAUCUUGUUUGGAAGUCCUGUAUCAUUUCCAUUGGUUUGUUGGGUUGGAUUUGAUUCUCUUUUGUCUUGUUUGAUUAUGUUAAAUCCAGUGGAAGGAGCAUAUUUAUUUCAAAGAUAGCAAAAUCUAUUAUGGUAGUGAUUUUGGAUUUACUAUCGGCUUGUUUUGAAAUCUGUUAGAGACCACUACGAAGCAGCUCUGAGCAGGAUUUAAAUUUUACUAAUUGGCUUUCUAUGUUUAUCUGUGAGUCUGUCCUAGGCCUAGGUCCCUUGCCUGGUGAUGGGAGCUGAUUCAUAGUAAGUGACUGGUCCUGGCUGAGGCCUGUAGUAGCCUGUGAGGCCAGAGAUACCUAAAAGGGCAAGACAAGGCCACAGCUGCGGACACUUAGCUCCAACCCCAAUUAACUAGGUAGAGACUGCAGUUGCAAAGAUUACUCCUACAGUCUCACUUCUACCAUGUCUUCCUGAUAAGACAGUGCUACUGAAUUGACUUGAUUCUUUACUUGGAGACGUCCUUGAAGUGACUCCCAAGGUUCUGCUCAUUGCCUGCACUUUCCUCAGUCUCUCUGCCCUUUGUCCUUGGUCCUAAUAUAAGUGGACUGAUCCAGAGAAUCCUUUGUCUUUACCCUUGAAGACUUGAGCUUAAUUAAAGAGUUUUGAUUCUCCUGGAGCCCUAAAAAUCAUACAAUUUGUGUCUUUUAAUUUAACCUCCACCGUACACUCAUUUGAGAGAUUGGGGAUCUAAGACGAAACCCGAUAGAAAUCCUUUACUGCAUUCAUUGUUUUCUUUUUAUUGUUUCUAUUCUUGUCUGUUCUGUUUGAUUUUUACUAUGUCUGAAGUUAUCUGCAGCUAUUUGAAGACAUCAAAUGGCAUUAUAGUAACUAUUAUUGAUUUUGUAAUGUUUUGAAGUCCUGAAUCUCUUACACUGGGUUGUUUUAUUGGUUUUAUUCUAUUUUAUUCUCUUUAAAAUAAAAUUUUAAAGAAAUACCAUCCUUUUAAACAUUCCUCAAUUGAUGGGCAUCUUGAUUGUUUACAAGAUUUAGCUAUUACAAAUUAUGCUGUUAUAAACAUGGGUGCAUACAUGUCACUGGUAUAAUGUUUUUAAUUCUUUUAGUAAGGCACCCAGAAGGAGAAUAACUGGGUCAAAUGGGAUCUCCAAUCCUAGUUUUUUGAGGAAUCUUCACUCUGAUUUCCAUAGUAGAUGCACCAGUUUAUACUCCCACCAACAGUAGAGAAGGGUUCCUUUUUCUCCACAACCCCUGCAGCAUUUUUAUUGGUUGAUAAUUGUUCAACCAGAUCUGCCAUGGGAAGUGUGCUGGAUAUGGAGCCGAUCUUGGCCUCUGGAUGUGGGGGCUGGGACUGGUCUGCAAAAACCAACUGCUGACUCCUUUCUGCUGCCUCAGACACUUCCACAUUGCAGGUCUCUCUGCCUAUUCUGCCUGCCUGCCCAAGGUGUGUGUGCCCGCACACCCUGCAUCUGGUUGUCAAGGAUCUCAUUUGGGUGUCUAGUUGCUCUGCCCGUCAAAUACAUGUGUUUGAUUAUUCUCAGGAGUAAUGAUAAAAUAUUUGUUAGUAAAAAUCUGAACUAAAAGUCUCAAUCUUAAUGUUUUCCACACCAUUAUGUAUGGAUAUGAAUGUAACAGUGCUAUAGAAAAGUAAGCAGUAAGAAAGUAAAAAUGAAAAAUAGUGUAAAUCUAUAUGUGUUCUACUUUUAAAGAUGUAAUUUUCUAAAAGUAAUAGUGCCAAUCUCCAUUUCAUUCAGCAGAGUAUGGCUCUUGUUCUAUAUUCUUGUCAAUACUUUUUAAAAAGUGUAUAUAUUCUAGUUGGUAUGUUGUGAUAUCUUAUUUUUAUUUUAAUAUAUAACUUUUCCAAUUACUAAGGAGAUUGAACAUCUUUCCAUAUGUGUCAGUCAUUUUGAUGCCAGUUUUCAUAAAAUGUCAGUUUUUCUAUUGUGUCAUACAUUCUUUAAUUGAUAUAUAAGAUUCCUUUAUAAUUUGUAGAUCUGAGACCUUUGUCAAGUGUGUAUUGGAAAUACUUUCUCUGAGUUUAUUGCUUGCUUUUUAAUUCUCUUAAUAAUAUCUUUUAUGACCAAAAUUUGUUAGUUUAGCAUAGUGCAAUUUAUUACUUUUUCAUAUGAUUAGUACUUUUAAUAUCUUAGGCGAAUUUUUACAAGUCCAAGGCUAUGAAGGAAUAUUAUGGUAUUUUCUAGAAGGCUUGUUUCCCAAUUAGUUCCACAGUUGAUUUCUGUAUAUUGGGUGAGCCAAGGUUCAAAUUUUAUGUUUUUCAUAUGAAUAUACAAAGAGACCAACAAUAUUAACUGAACGAGUAACUUUAUUCAAAUGUGGCAGUAACUACACAGCUUUUUGAAAGCUACCAACUUUGAGAGCAAAGCAAUGCUGAGCAAGUCACCUCUACUGUUCAGAACUGGAAAUUUGAUGGCAUUGCGUUUUCACUCAAAAUAAAGUAUCCUAAGAAAAAAAAGAAAGAAAGAAAAUGUUUCUCCUCUUUCCCCAAGUAGAAUAUUCUCUUGGCUUGAGUUCCACAAAUAUGUUCACUGAAACAAAACCAAGUAUUUCAGACCAGACAUAGAACUAAAAUUGUAACAAAGAUGAUUCAAAGGCCUUCAUAGAAAGAUGGCAGGUCUACAGCUUCUUAUAUCUUAAUAACAUCAACUUUUAAAAUAUUUUAAAAUUUUAAAAUAUUUUCAAAUAUUUCUUUUGACCUUAACUUUAAAAAUCUGGUUACUUCAUCUCUUCACUGUAUAAAAUUUCAGAAGGGAGGGUUUUAAAUGCUUCUCAAAUUCAAAUGUGAGCAUUGUCUUCAUUAUUUUUUCAUUUGUUAUUUAAAUUAUAUUUUAAUAAUAAUUACAUUUUUAAAACAGUGAAAAGCCAUGUUUAAAAUACCUUGGUACCAAGAAGCAAGCCCUGCCUGCACACUAGUGCUAUGCACAAGCCUCUGGUGCCAGUAGGACAGACAGACUCCAGUCUUUUCCCAUGAGUCAGUGCCAUGGGAAAAAUCAAUGUAGGGGAGAGAACAAGAAGUCACCAAGAAGCAAACCCUUCUUAUGAGUCAGUGCCACAUGUGGGCUGCCACCAUCAGGGGAAGAACCAUACCUCAGCCCAUUCCAGCGUGUGGGCUGGAAGACAAGAUAUACCACAUACCCACCCACCCAGCACCACCAUAAGUGAAGUGCUGAUCUGGAAAAACACAGGCUGUGACAAUAGCUAUUGAGGUGAAAUGCAAUUCGAUGCUUGUGGUGUUUGGUGUUUCACUGACUUUGCAGGUCUAGGGCUGGUGGUCUGAUCAUCUAUUCAGAGGAUAACCAUACACAGUGUGGCAUAUAUGGGAGAUCUUCUUCUGAAGGUGGUAGUCAUUGUUAACUCCCUAUUAUCUUGUAUUGAAGUCCUGUAUCAUUUUCAUUGUUUUGUUGCGUUGGGUUGUUUUUUUUUUUUUUUGUCUUAUUUGAUUUUGUUAUAUCUGAUUGCAUGGGCAGCUAUUUCAAAGAUAGCAAGAUAUAUUUUGGUAACCAUUUUGGAUUUGCUGUUGUCUUGUUUUUAAGUCUUUUAUUGCAUUCAUUUUUUUUUUGAUUUAUUGCUUCUAUUCUGUUCUGUUUUGUUUGAUUUUUCCUAUGUCUGAAGCAAUCUGCAGCUAUUUUGAAGACAAGAUUUUGUAUUGUUUUGAAGUCAUGUGUCACUUACACUGGUUUGUUUUGAUUGGCUUUUUUCUAUUUUGUUUGGUUUUAUUCUCUUUAAAAAAAUAAAGACAUUGGUAAAUUCAUUCUAGAAACUCUAGAGUUUUUCAUUUUUUUAAAAAAUAAAAUUUACUAUCAAGUAAUUAUAAGCUGGGAUUGACAUGCUGUUCAUAGUCAUGAAAUAAUAGUUUAGCAUAAAAGGACAAGUUAUUCUCUGAAUUAAUAAAAAAUACAGCUUAAUCAAUUUUGACAAAGUCAUCACACCUCUGUACCUAUUACCCAGUUUGAGAAAUAAAACAUUAUGAAGGUUGUAGAAGUCUCUCUUCUACUUUGUAAUAGUGCCUAGCACUAUUCCUUUUCCCUUUCUAGAAAGUAGCCAUAUUUUUCUUACUAAAAAUUGAUUAGUUCAAUUUGUAUAUGCUAUAUUCAUGACAAUAUUUGGUAUUUAUUCCUGUGUAUUCUGUUGUGCCUGACUUCUUUCACUUUAUUUCAAUCAGUGUUAUGGCUAUAAAUUCAUCGUGUUGUUGGAUGAGCAAAUUUUUUCUGUUGUUCUUUUUCCUAAAGAUUAUUUGAUUUAUGGAUAUACUACCAAAUAGUUAUCUAUUCUAUGCCAUACAUUUAGAUAUUAGUGGCUAAUAAUGCUAUUAUGAAUAUUCUGUUUAAAUCUAUAGUGCAAAUAUCUAUGCUUUUUUUUGAGUAGAUUUAGUGACUUUUCUAAGGUGAUAAAAACAUUGGCCAUUCAUAUCCACUGUGUAUUAGAUUUCCAGUUGCUUCAUAGCCUCACUCAAACUUUAAAUAUUGCCAACUUUUUAAAUAUCUGUCAUCCCAGUAAAUAUGUAAGGCUAUUUUGUGUUUUUAAUUUACAGUUCUCUGAGAUUGGUAAGGGUUGGUAUUUUAAAUAUGAGCUCUUGGUCAUUCAUGUAUAUUGUAGUAUAUCUUCCCUACUGUGGCUUUUAUUUUUUUCCUAUUAAUGAUAUCUUUUUAUAAAUAAUUUAUUCCUUUUGUUUCUUGGUAUUUAUAGUUAACUAUUUAUGUAUCUUAUUUGAGAAAAAUCUUUCCUAUCUUGAGAUCACAGAGACCAUCUUAUCUUUCAAAACUGUACCUUUCACAUUUAAAAUAUGGACAUGAGCAUUUCCUUAAGUUAUCCUUCAAAAAGAUGAGCCAAUUCAUAUGCCAACUAAAAUAUGCACAAGAAUUAACUUCUUUACACACUUUCCAAAACUUACUCAAAUUGGUUAUUAUUAAAAUUUUUAUUUUUUGCCAUUAUUAUAACUGAAUUAGAACUUUUAUUGCUGUUCAAAUUUAUGAUAUAUUUCAGACAUAUAUAAGUAAUAAAGAUUAUCAUUACAAAGAAUAUUAAAAUACCCAUUUAUCAAAAUCCAUUAUUAAUAUCUAAAAAUAAAAUUACAUUGGUUGGGGAAAAUCACCUAGUUUAAAAUUCUUCACAUUGAAAAAGCAUGAACCUAACUAUGCUAAUGGAAUAAUGGAAAAAUGUUCUCCAAAGCACUAAGUCUAUAGAGGGUAUCAUGGUGCUCCUGCAAUAGCAUUUCUUAGUACAUGUAUACACUAUAUAAGUACAUAUAUACACUAUAUAAGAUUAUUAAAAGAAAAAGAGACCAAUAGCUGUAACAAACAACCUUCAGUCACUCAGAAGCUGUGGAUAAUAGUGGGAUUUUCAGUGUAUCUUAUAUGUGCUCCUGUUUGGAGAGUAUUUGCAUGUUAGCAGGAUGCCUACUAUUCUUAGAAUAUUAGUGCAAAGUUAGUUAAUGCAUGCCAAACAUCAGGAGUAGAAACUAAAGGUGAACAGAAUGCCCAUCCCAACUAUGAUUACAAAGCAAGCACAGUGGUCUGACACUGCCAUCUGAUAGGGUAGGAAACCUACACAUCCUUCUUAGGGAGUAGCUUUGGACUGGGAAACUUACAUUCCCGAGAAGAUACAAAUGAUUUAACGUGAGUCCAAAUUCAAGAUAUUGCUUCUACUAUUGGAUACUGUUUUAAUCUCAGGUAAGAAUGAAAGAAGUUUGUAAUUCUCUUUAUUACUUCUAGACCAGACAAAGUUAUGAAAGGAUUCUGAAAUAGAAAUUUCACAUUCUUUGCUUGUUAGUAUUGUCUUCUAUCUCACCAUUAUAAAUGCUAGUGGGUGGAAUAUUUUUCGGAGAAUGACCAAACAGAAACAGGAAAAGCUCAUCUCAGCUGAUAUGGCCACUUAACCAAUUAUACUUUAACUUGAAAAAAUAGAAGUCUUUCUUGAAAAAAUAGACUAUACAAAGUUUGAAACUCAAAAACCUUUGUAAUGCAAUAACUCAAUUGUUCAUAAUUCUUGCGUCAGGGAAGUUCUUUACAAAUGAAAAAAAUUUUAUUACUAAAUCUUUAAUAUAUGCUUAAGGAUUUUCCCUUUAACUUUUUGUUAUUGGUUCAUCUUUAAGUAUAAUGUGCGUGUCAGGAUAUCUUACUUUAGGAUAAUUUUUUGUUUUUCCUACUAUUUAAAUAAAAAAUAUAACCCAUGAAUUUUGAAUAAGUUAUUUUAAUAUUCUCUAAAAGAAAUGCAUCUGAUAUCCUAAGAAUGGCUGCUAGUUUAGUCAAAUUGGUUAUUUUGUGACUUUGAUUUUUAGUACAUAAGAAUAAAAUAAUGUUAACUUAUAAAAACAACCUGACAUUCUAAGUGGAACUUUUAUUUUGCUUUCAGGUUUUUUUUAUUCUAAACAUGUAAUAUAUAUUAAAUCACUUUAUCUAUUUUAUUGAUAGUAUUGCUCAGUCAUCUUCUAAUCCUUCUUUGUAAUUCUCAGUUGUAGCUGGAACGCCUUAAAAGGAAGCUAGUUUCUUUGAAAUUCCUUAACAUUUGACUCUUGUAAAGUUAAUGAUCAUAUAAGGAUUAAAUUCAUUCCAAGAAUUUUACUGCUCUUUACUAUUUUAUUACUGUUGCUUAGUCUCAUCAGAUGUGGUUUUUCUGGGUUUUUUUAUAAUGUUAAAUUCUUCUAGUUUAUUCAUUCUAUAAAAUUUAUCUUAGUUGUUGUCUAGUGCUUAAGAGAAAGAAAUAAUAUCUACAAAGCAAUCAGCAGCCCUAAGAAAACAAGAUUUUUCUUAACUAUAGUUCUUCAAAGUAUCUUCUAAAGUAGGUUUAACUGGACAGUAUUGAAAUCUUUAACCUUAAGAAGGUGAAGUGAGAGGAUCAUAAAUUUGAGAUCAAUAUAGGCAGUCUUAUCUCAAUAAUAAUUUGUUCGUAGAGUUGUAAUUGUCCUAAACUUAUGAAUUUGUCUUUUUCUCCUGCACCUAUAAUAAAUAUAAAUGAUUUGAAUUGAAAUACAUCAUUUUGGUCCAUCUCUAUAUGACUUCCCAGCUAUUCCCAGCUAUUAUAACUUCUCUCUAUAUAACUUCCCAGUUAUUAAUUCAGCAUAUGUGACCAUGUGAAAAGAGUAUACUAGUUUUAUGUUCAAGUCCUGCCUACCUGCAAAGUCAUAAAUGACAGUAUUAUUUGAAGAGAAAGUUGCCUGAACAACAGGCAUUUUUUGAUUAUUUCGUAUAAUCCUCUAUCAAAGUCAUGCUAUCACUAUCUGUAUCAUGCUAUUCAUGUUCUCUCCCAGUGUAGAAUGGUUGUUUUUGUCAUACUCGUGUGGGUUUUAUCUUCCUAAACUGUAUAGUCACAGAUUUCUUUUAACCUUCUGUCUUAUUUUACCUAUUUUUAGCUUUGCUUGAUAGCCAUUGUAAGUAAUUUCCAUAUGGGGAUACAUGUUAUAGACUGAAGGAGUAAAAGGAAGUUUUAAGAAGUAAAAGGAUUCUGGGAAAUGAGGAGUGGAAAGCAAACAUUGACAGUGGGUGACAAUUAGGUAAAUACGAAAUUUCUCAAACUAGUAGAUUUCUUCUCUUAGUCUUUCAAUUCACCUCUAUACCGCCAGUCUACACUCAGUUUCAAAUGUUCUUCUUUGCCUUAUCCUCAAAAUAAAUGACUUUAGAUGUAGUUUUAAAAAGCCCAGUACUACGCAAGUUUUUGUUUUGCUUAUACAAGACUAGCCAAAAAAUUUACUAAUAUUGUUUUUCCAAUUAUGUGAGCCUAUUUAUCCUUAAAGUUAAAAGAAAGAAGAAGAAAACAGUUUUUGUUUUGAAAUAACAAACUACUUAAAAUUCCAGUAACUUCACAGAAAAGUCAACUUUAUAGGAAGUUUUCUAGAAACAGAUAUUCAUGUAAUUUUGAUCCAAAACACUAUACUAGGAAGAUAUAUUUUCAAACAAAAGAAAAAACAAAGAGCUUUUCUUGCCAAGAAUAAAUGUAAAAAUAUUUCUCCCAUAGAAAAACUAAAGGUUCAUCAUAAGUAAACAAAUCAUUUGCUAAUGAGAAUGUACUCUUUCAAUUAGUGGGUAUAGGGUAAAGGAAUAGUUUAGAGUACCGUAGAAAUCACCAGAGAAAAUGGUACUUUUACCAGGGUUUUUCUUGCCAUAGGUCCAUUCUCUGGCAAAAUUGUCCCAGUGAGCAGUGUAAAACUGUGGAAAAGCUCCCCCUCCUACCAUGAAAGCUAAUGCAGGACAGUGACCAAUAUAGGAAAAGGUUUUGGGGUGUUUUUUUUUUUUCCAUUAGUCAGAGGAAAUCUGAAAUGCUUAUCUAGUUCUCUACACUUUUAGUGUCAGGCAUCUUUGAUAUCUGUAUAUCAUGUAGUUAUCAAAGUAUACUAAGUAGGUGAUAAUAAAAUGUCAUUUUACUCCACAUACUUCAAUGGCUCUAAAAUUCAGGUGUAUUUCUGCUUUGUGUUCCAAUUAACUGACCAAAUCUAUAUUUCAUUUAAUAGGUUCUAACUCUGUUUUCUUGAUUUCCAUUUUUUCUUGAUUUUCUUGAUUUCCAUUUUUCCCAAUUUCUGAUGAAUUCCAGUAUUCAUUUAAAUCUUACACGUGCCUAUAAAUUAUCCUUCACAUUUGUAGAAACCUUUUGCACUAUAUGACUACCUCUAGCCUUAAGAAGGAACCUUUAAAUCCAGGGGUGGGCAAACAAGGUUAAAUAGAUCUGUGAAACUACAGUGGUAGUUCUUUUAGAGAGUGAAUCGGGAUUUAGUGGUAGCCAUUGCUUCAAAUGGAGACUAAGAAAAAGAAUAGGCAUGUCUUAGCAUUAUUUUCUAUUUUUAAAUUUCCAUUUCCAAUCAGUUUUUAUAAUUCUUCUCUCAUUUUUUUCAUCAAUACUCUUUCACUCUACACUGAGGAAAUCCUUACUCUCCGAACGUCUUUAAACUAAAGAGUUGUUAAAGAGAUAGGACAAAGAACACAGAUUAGGACUUUGUGGAAGUAGGAAGGAAAUCUAGGAUGAGGGGAGAAAGAGAUAUGGCAGAAGGAGUGUAAAAAUGAUUAAGAUGUGAUUUUUAUGGAGUCUGCCAAAAAUGUAUGCACAGUUCAGCAGUUCACUAUGCUAAUAAAUGUCUGGAAGCUAAUGGCUACCACUUGGAGCACCUUUUGUAAUUGUAGAGGCCAAAGAUAACUUGUAUUAAUCUCAUGAUGUCUCAACAAGUUUAGCAUUAAAAUAUUUAUACAAGUUUUUCUAAUUCAUUUAUUUUUUGGCAGUCUGUAUGUGUACUAAUUCUGUAAGAUGAUUGUAAUUAUUAUAUAUUGAAAAAAUAUACUAAUAAAAUAUACUUUAAAAAAUGACUUCAAGAGUGAGAGUUUCGUGAUGUUUUCUGUUAUGUGAGCUUAGUACUUAAUGAGAGGGUUGGGAAGGAUAGGAGGGAGGUAAAGGGAAUGAAGUACCAUUCAUUCAAGCUUUAUCAUCUGUAGUAGUAGAAAGGAAAAGCCAGUGAGAAAAAGAUUAGAGAUGCAAAAGAAGAAGGAGUAGGGAUGUGUGUGUGUGUGUGUGUGUGUGUGUGUGUGUGUGUGUGUGAGAGAGAGAGAGAGAGAGAGAGAGAAAGUUGUGUUGAAUGAAGGUACUGGAUAAGUUUACUAAAACAAUGGGGUAGAGAACUAAAGUUAAGACAGAUAGCUCCAAUCUUAGUAAACUAAGACAUGUCAUCUGAUUUCAUUUGUUUAAUUUUUCAGAUAAUUCAAGUGAUUGACAGAAAAAUUUAUGUACUGGUUCAAGAAAGCUGACUGAAUGAACAUUUUAACAACUUUUAUCUUCUGAGCUGACCAAAUUUUCAUUGAAAUGACAGAAGAAAUAUAGAACAAUAAUAAAUUCAUAUCAACUUAGAAAAGAAGAGUGCCAUCAAAAAUGUGAAUUUCUGGAACAUAUAAAAAACAGUAUAAGAUAUAUGGCAUACCUCAAUAGAGUUGACUGUACAUCUCUAUAGAGAUAGUAAAGGUGCUCCAAAACAAAAGAACCUAUAAAUAAGUUCAAGAGAAAGAUUUGUGGGAAUUGCAAAGAAUAGGGCUGUCCCCCGGCUCACAGGCAUGAAAAGAGGUUGAAGAAUACCGCUCAGAACAUGUGCUAACCAUACAGGCCAGCUUGACAGUGUGUUCACCACCCAGUGAAUCAUUAAUUUUCAGCCUCAGAGCCAGGUAAACACUCUCUUUGUCUUUGUGUCUUCCCAAUUUAUUAAGAUGAGAACUCGUUUUCUAUUUGGCUCAGCAUUCAGUCCUUUGGUUAGUGGUUAUGAUCCUAGACAAUCACAGCGUCUUCAUAUGAGGGAGAAAACUAAUCACAACAGUUGUGACAUCCUGGGUAGUGUGGUACAAUUAGCAAUAACAACAGCAUCAUGUACAGCCUAGCAACUGACAGACUGUGGAAACUGUUAAUUUUAACCAUAACAGCAAAGUCUACAGUUGGAUAACGAAAUCCAGCCACAUACCAGGAUAUGUUUCCUAUUAGCAGAGUGAUUUUACCCAGAGUGUGGGGGGGUGGGGGUUAACGGGGAAAGGGAACAAAACAGAUUUAAGUAUGGAGAGAUAUAAUAAAAGUGAGGCUGUAGGGCAAAGGAUGAUCACCCAAUUUGGGGAAACUGGAGAAGAAUUCAGGGGAGAAAGAAUGAAAGAAAAAGCAAAAGGGCAGUUUUCCUUCUGUUAGUAACUGAGAAAGCUGACUGUAUGAAUUUGUCUUCUCCUUUAAGUUCUGUCAAUUAUUGCUUUACAUAGUUGAAGGAGUGUGAAAUCUAAAUUAAAAUAUUUUUAUCUUCCUAGUGAAUUCCCUUUUAUCACAUGUUCUACUUUAAUAAUAUGAUGAUAUAUUAGCCUUUUUAUUAUCUUUUCUAUGGCAUAUCUUUUUUCAUCUUAUUAUUUCUAACUUUAUCCUUAUGUUUAAAUAGUCCUUAAGGAUUUAAGUACUACCAAGUAAAAGCAUCUUGUUGAUUUUAAAAAUAAUUUGAAAAUAUUUGCUCUUUAAUUCAACUCCAACUACUUACUUGUGCUUAUACUAAUCAUGUAACUGUUUUCUGUUUGUCUCACUUGGUUUAUAGUUCUUUUUUUCCCUUUCAUUAUAUAAUUUAAAGUUAAUUAGAUCAAUCUUUUGCAAAUAGGUACUAUUUGAAAAUAUGUACUAUAAAAUUUUAAAAGUCAAUUUAAAUUAAAGAUACUUUAUUAUUCUGUUUCCCCAACCAUUUUUUGUUUGUUCAUUAAGUAUUCUUUCACUGUUUUACUGCAUAUCCUAAUGAGUACAGCGUACUGCCAAGACACACUGUCUUCACACUUUUACAUUUUCUAGGCGAUGCUAGGACCUUCGAUAUUUUGACUCCUUAUAAUGCCACUUUUUGUAUAAUUAUUAUCAAUCACUUUAAAUCUAUAUGUUUUAGUUCCCCCCAAAUAUAAUACUGUUGUAUAUAGUCAAUAAACAUUUGUUUAUAUGCAUUUUUAUUCAUAUUUAAUUCUUUCCGGAAUUUUUGUCUUUCAAUUUGGAAUCACUUUUCUUUGCCAGCAAAAUUCACCUUAUUAUUUAUUUUUGUGAGGAUAUACCAUUGGAAAUUUUACUGGAUUUUUGUUUUUUUGAAAAUUACUUUUUUUUUUUAAAUGUUCACUUGUGGAGAAUAUUGUGGUAGAUGUAAAAUUCUAGGAAAACAGGUUUCUUUUGACAGUUUGAAAAUAACAUUCCACCGUAUUAUCUCUAUUGAUCAUAAUAAUUAUUUCUAUAUCUUUGAAGGUAAUUCACUUUGUCUUUUAGCUAUUUUCACCUUUUUUCUUUGUUUUUUAUUUUUAGCAGGUUUCCUUGAUACCCUCGGCGUGGUUUUCUUCAUCACUAUGUCUUUCACUUUGAAUAUUCUUUGCCUUCCUCAAUUGCUUCUGUCCUAUUUUUUUCUCUCUCUCUGUCUUUUACCUCCUGAAACUCCUAUUAGACACGACUUCAGUAGUCCCUUGUUGAAGCUAGAAUUUUUAAAUAUUUCUAGCCUUUGUAUUCACCACAUUUUAGCAGAAAUAUCUUCUGAUGUUUCUUCCAGAUCAUGUCCUUCUCAGAUUCUUUGUGAAUUACUUACUAAGCUUAAACUUCAGUUCUUAUGCUUUCUUAGUUCUAGAAUUUUUAUUCUAUUUUUUAAAAAUUGUAACUCUUUAAAUUCUUCACUAUAUCUUUCAUUUGUAACGUAUUAAUCAUUGCUCUUCCUACCCAGCUGGAUAAUUUCAAUAAAUUAGUUGUCAAUUAAUUUGUGGAAAUUUUCUCCUACACUGUUUGUGUCAUACAUAUCUAUUUUUAUUGAUAGUAAAUACUGUCUUCAUUAAAGUGUAGUGACUCUGGAUAGAACUACUAUUCUUCAUGAACUCUGGUGAACAGAGUAUUGUCAGUUUACUUUUAUCUAAUUAUGGAUCUUGAACAGAUUUUGUAAAGCUCAUUGAACCCCCUUGUUUAUCUAUACAUUUCUAGUAUGUGCAAGGAUUCUCAAUUGAGAUUCUGGAAAUUUUAGUCAGGAUUGUUCCCCGUUGGAAAUUUGAGAACUCUUGUUUUUAUCUGUGUGCUACAUUAGGGUUUUUCUCUGAGACUGAGAAACUUUGCUCAGCACUUCACUGGUUUUCUGCCUAAUUUUUUAUCCUCACUUUGUAUAGUUAAAUUAUUCACAAAAUUAUCUCUGAUUCUUCAGUAGGAGAAAUGGGUUUUAGUUGGUGCUUUGCUUUGUUAGCCAGACUUCAGACUGUGUAUCAUUAAAGUGGUUAUUCCUGUUUGGAAUAGUCAUAAGAUUAUAAAAUUUAACGCUGGAAGGAACUGAAGACAUCAUCUUCUAUUGGCUAACCUCCCACACAGUGCAGAAAUGUUUCCUGCCGCAUCCUUGGCAUAUGCUCAUCCGGUCUCAAUUUGGAUAUCUUCAGCAAAGGAGCUCAUCAUUUCCUGAAACAAUCCAUUCUGUUGGACAACUCUAUUUUAAAAAUCCUUAUGUUGAGCUAAAAUAUGUCUUUUUGUAACUUAUACUCAUUUACUCAUUGUUUUAAGUUUUCCUUCUGGAGUAAGUCAAAACAAGAGAACAUUUCAGAUAGCUAUACUUAAAACAGAUCUAAAUGGCAUUCCUGUUUUCUCAUUUUCUCAUUCUCUCUCUCUCUUUCUCUCUCCCUCUCUCACACACACUUACACACAUUUAUGUGCAUAAACACACAUUUUUGUCUCAAAACAUCAAACACAAUUACUAAACAAAUUAAUAAUCUUAAGAAAUUGCUUUUAUUUGGUCAUUAUUAAAAUGCUAGUUUUAUACUAUGCGAACUUCUCUGACAGUUUGAAGACAAAUCUUUGUGUAAUUAUCGUAAAUCCUAUUUUUGGACAAAAAAGGAGUUUGAAGAUUUCCACUAUUUUUGGAAGUGACACUACAUAACCACUUGUGGAGCUGCAGAUAAAUUAAUCUUCAGUUGCCAAGAGGCAGAUGAAUUCUUAGCUUAUGCACGUUUGUUUUUUGUUUUAUUGAAACUUGCAUAUUAAAGCUUGUUUGAAUUAAUGAUAAUAAUCAUAUAGUAACUAAUAUUUAGUGAAUAUUUGCUAUGUAUAAUUAAAGUAUCUUGUCUUCAUUUUUGGACUGAACUUUUUGCUCAGUAAGAGGUCUCCUAACCCUUUAAGUGUAGUUUAUGAUUUAAACAGAGCACAGUAUCAGAGAAGUUUCUGUUAGCAAUCCUACUGAGGCUACCCUCAAACUAUGCAGACUACCCAGGCACACUAGGAGUAGGAGUCAUUCUUUGUUAAAGCUGAAAUUCUGUAUACAUAUUUUUAAAGAGCCAAAUAGCUCUAAAAUACACUCUUAAAAGUUUAUGUCCUGUCCUACUUAUGAUUUAAACUCACAACUACAUUUUAUCCCCUUUUUCUCUUUCAUGAUUUCAGCAUGUAGUUUUGAGUGCACAAAUUGCCAUUUUUUAAUAGCCUGUGAAAAACGAAAAAAAUCAACUUGCCUUAUUGCAUCUUUUCUCAGUUAAAAUGGUGGAAAGUUAUUGUGUGCAAGGCAAAAAUGCUGAACCUCAGACAGUCCCUUAAAAGUACUGAAGCUAUUGUCAAAAUAUGAGAAGAGGUAGAGUUUAAAUAAUCAGAGCCACUGUGAUUACAACUGUAAACUUUGCAAAGCUAGUUGAAAGACAGAAUGGGCAGCAUCUGGUGUCUGACUUUCAUUCUCAUUUAACUGGUCUGGAUUUGUAAUAUUUUCAAUGCUCAUUUUUCUUAGUUCAUGUUUUCAGUGUGUAAUGAUUACAUUUGUCAUGGGGAAUUGAUACACGUGUGUAACAUAUCUUAACUCUUUUUUAUCCCCUUUUUUUCCUUUCCUUCUCUGCUUCCUCCAUCUCUCAGUCUCCUUCCCUUUUGUAAUUUUUAAAUGUUGUCUAGGUGAUUUAAACAUAUGUGUAGGGUUCUGAGUUGCUGUGCUAAAUCUACUGUGACAUGGAACAAACCCAAGAAUUUUUCCUAUGCUCAAGAUUUAUAAUCACGAAGUUGGGCACAGGUAAAGUGCUGAUAGUUUAAAGGUACAUACAAUAGGAUCCCACAGAUUACAGAUAUUACUUUAAAAUCAGUAGAUUACUUGAUAUAUCUGGUUAGUUCUAAGACAACCUUUAGAAUCCUGCUUGUUAGAUCAAGGGUAGAGAGAAUUGCACUUUUCUUUUAAAAAAAAUCACUUACAUUAAAUCUUGUGUUCAUAAGAUAGAAUAUCAUUUUGUAGUAUUUUAUACUCUAGAAUUGCUUUGAAACAAUGAUUAAGUAAAUUUGAGGGGAAAUAUGUGCAUCUUCUUUCUUUUGUGAGAUGAAAAAAAUAAAGCAUAAAAAUACUGACUGUCCUCUGUUCCUGUCUUUGAUUUUUACAAACUAGUUUUAAAGCCAUUUCUAUUUGUUCUGUAUCUAAGGAAGCGAGUUUCACGCAACUGAUUUUCAUUUGAUAUAAUAUUAAAAUGGUUAUCAUACCAAAAUGC